rnacentral:rRNA from 1 species
CUAUCAUGCAGUCGAGCGAACUGAUUAGAAGCUUGCUUCUAUGACGUUAGCGGCGGACGGGUGAGUAACACGUGGGCAACCUGCCUGUAAGACUGGGAUAACUUCGGGAAACCGAAGCUAAUACCGGAUAGGAUCUUCUCCUUCAUGGGAGAUGAUUGAAAGAUGGUUUCGGCUAUCACUUACAGAUGGGCCCGCGGUGCAUUAGCUAGUUGGUGAGGUAACGACUCACCAAGGCAACGAUGCAUAGCCGACCUGAGAGGGUGAUCGGCCACACUGGGACUGAGACACGGCCCAGACUCCUACGGGAGGCAGCAGUAGGGAAUCUUCCGCAAUGGACGAAAGUCUGACGGAGCAACGCCGCGUGAGUGAUGAAGGCUUUCGGGUCGUAAAACUCUGUUGUUAGGGAAGAACAAGUACAAGAGUAACUGCUUGUACCUUGACGGUACCUAACCAGAAAGCCACGGCUAACUACGUGCCAGCAGCCGCGGUAAUACGUAGGUGGCAAGCGUUAUCCGGAAUUAUUGGGCGUAAAGCGCGCGCAGGCGGUUUCUUAAGUCUGAUGUGAAAGCCCACGGCUCAACCGUGGAGGGUCAUUGGAAACUGGGGAACUUGAGUGCAGAAGAGAAAAGCGGAAUUCCACGUGUAGCGGUGAAAUGCGUAGAGAUGUGGAGGAACACCAGUGGCGAAGGCGGCUUUUUGGUCUGUAACUGACGCUGAGGCGCGAAAGCGUGGGGAGCAAACAGGAUUAGAUACCCUGGUAGUCCACGCUGUAAACGAUGAGUGCUAAGUGUUAGAGGGUUUCCGCCCUUUAGUGCUGCAGCUAACGCAUUAAGCACUCCGCCUGGGGAGUACGGUCGCAAGACUGAAACUCAAAGGAAUUGACGGGGGCCCGCACAAGCGGUGAGCAUGUGGUUUUAAUUCGAAGCACCCCGAAGAACCUUACCAGGUCUUGACAUCCUCUGACAACUCUAGAGAUAGAGCGUUCCCCCUU